UGGGGAAUUUUGGACAAUGGGGGAAACCCUGAUCCAGCCAUCCCGCGUGUGCGAUGAAGGCCUUCGGGUUGUAAAGCACUUUUGGCAGGAAAGAAACGUCAUGGGUUAAUACCCCGUGAAACUGACGGUACCUGCAGAAUAAGCACCGGCUAACUACGUGCCAGCAGCCGCGGUAAUACGUAGGGUGCAAGCGUUAAUCGGAAUUACUGGGCGUAAAGCGUGCGCAGGCGGUUCGGAAAGAAAGAUGUGAAAUCCCAGGGCUCAACUUAGGAACUGCAUGUGUAACUACCGGGCUAGAGUGUGUCAGAGGGAGGUGGAAUUCCGCGUGUAGCAGUGAAAUGCGUAGAUAUGCGGAGGAACACCGAUGGCGAAGGCAGCCUCCUGGGAUAACACUGACGCUCAUGCACGAAAGCGUGGGGAGCAAACAGG
rnacentral:rRNA from 1 species